rnacentral:rRNA from 1 species
UACGUAGGGGGCUAGCGUUGUCCGGAUUUAUUGGGCGUAAAGAGCGUGUAGGCGGCCAGGUAGGUUUGCUGUGAAAACUCGAGGCUCAACCUCGAGACGUCGGCGGAAACCAUCUGGCUAGAGUCCGGAAGAGGAGAGUGGAAUUCCUGGUGUAGCGGUGAAAUGCGCAGAUAUCAGGAGGAACACCAAUGGCGAAGGCAGCUCGCUGGGACGGUACUGACGCUGAGAACGCGAAAGCGUGGGGAGCAAACAGG